UUGGCAGUGCAGUAGCCGCUGCAGCAGCGAAAGGGACAGAGAGGCAGGAGGUGGUGGCGACUCGUGAGGGGGGAGGAAGAAAGGAAGGAAGAAAGCAAGCAAGAAAGGAAAAGAGAGGUGGUGUAUAUUUUUACCAUAAAAGAGGGGUCUCCUACUCCCCACUGCCUUCCUCUUCUUCUCUCUUUAUUGCUCCUGGCUUUUCCCCAGACGCCCCGUCGGAGGCAAAACUCCCUCCUCUCGAGGCCUUAACCCACCUUAGAUCGGUCUGGUGCAUAUUAGGAUCAAUGGUGAGGGAGAAAAUCCAGAUAAGGAAGAUAGACAACGCGACAGCGAGGCAGGUGACGUUUUCCAAGAGGAGGAGGGGACUGCUGAAGAAGGCGGAGGAGCUCUCGAUCCUCUGCGAUGCCGAGGUCGCCCUUAUCGUCUUCUCGUCCACCGGCAAGCUCUACGAGUACUCGAGCUCCAGCAUGAAGGAGAUCAUUGAAAAGCACAGCAUGCAUUCAAAGAACCUACAGAAACCAGACCAACCCCCCCUUGACUUAAAUUUAGAGAAUAGCAAGCAUGCAAGUUUGAGCAAACAAGUUGCAGAUAUGAGCCUUCAACUGAGACAGAUGAGAGGAGAGGAGCUUGAAGGAUUGUCAAUAGAGGAGCUGCAGCAGCUAGAAAAAGCCCUCGAAGCAGGAUUAAGCCGUGUAAUAGAUAGAAAGGGUGAACAGAUCAUGGAACAGAUUAAUGGUCUCCAACAAAAGGGAUUGAAGUUGAUGGAAGAAAAUACACGACUGAGAGAGCAAGUACUGAAGCUGUCAAGGGUUGGGAAACAGAUGAUGAAUGAUAAAGAAAAUGCUCUUAAUGAAGAUGGGCAGUCGUCUGAAUCAGUCACUAACGUUUUGAACCCAGGAGGAUCACAAGAUUAUGAUGAUAGUUCUGACACAUCCCUAAAACUAGGGCUGCCUGGUUCAAACUGGAAGUGAAUAUGAGCUGCAGACCAACCAUCCAGGGAUCUUUUCUUAUCACAGUCUGAAAGUGAACACUAGCAACGAUUAGAUGCUAAAAGCACUGCAUGGAACCAGAUUGGUCCUGAGAACUGAGAGUAUGGGUAUGGCGAGUCUGACCAGAUCUUCAUCAAACAUAAUAGUGAAUCAAUGAUGAUGGACGCAUAUGAGGAGAUGGAACGUCCCAAGCAUUAGGAGAGACAUAAGACUGUAGCCAGUGUGAGGGUGAAGAACUGGAAGCCAGUGUGGGCGGCCAUCCUUCAAGAUCACGGGAUGGAGGGAAACAGAGACUAUUGUUGGCUUGUAUGGGUUUUGGUUUAUGUUUACAUCCAUUUAUUUUGUGUAUAGCGUUGUCCCUUGGUUUCAUAGCCAAGAUCCACUGUUUUUCUGUGCCAGUUUGCUGGAUUGUUUCUCUUUCUAUCUUUAUAAAGUUAUCCUCGCUUGCAAUUUUUUUUUUUUAAAAAAAAGAAGCAUGACAUUACUUGACAGGAAAACAGUGUAAACAGGAGACUGACGUAUUUAAUAUAAAGGAUAGAAGAUAAAGUACUAUUGGCAAUGGACCCUUGGA